CUGGCAACCACAAUUCAACUUUCUGUCUCACUGACUUUGACAACUCCCCUCAUAUAAGGAGAAUCCUACGGGCCUCCUCUCCCCUGCCCGCAAUGCCAUGCGAGCUGACCUUGGACCUGCGACCCUUGCCUUCAUCUGUGCCGAGACCUACACAAACAGUGAUGAAGCAUCGCAGCCGGAGGUGGGAGAGCCUCCACCAGGACAGUGCUAGCAUUGGAACUGGUGCUCCUUUAAGCGUUUACUGCAGUGGAAACUUGGUCUGUACCCAGAAAGGCCCAAGAUGUUGCUUCUUGAGGGCAUACAGCUUUUAAUGACAAUUGGACAAAUGCUACAUUAUUUAGCAUUGAGACAAAUGGAAAUAAAUCAGCCUCUGUAAGGGGGUGAAAAUGGCUGACAUUUUUGCUUAUAAUCUUGAACUUAUUUGGGUAAACUACCUACUAAUGUUUUACAGUUUUAGCUUUAUCUUACUAGAAGGUCUAAAGGGUUUUUGGUUAUAAGUGGAAAAAUGUAGAAUGUCUAAAAAAAACAAAAAAGAAGGGGAAAUAAGAAUUUAUUUUUCACUCUUAGAUUGUGUGUGUGUGUGUCUGUGUGUUUUAUUUUGUACUUUCUUCCACUUGAGUACUGCAUUAGUGAUCAUUACGUGGGUCCAACAUUAAAAAGCCCCAAAAACAAGAAGGUAUUAAAUACCUUCAUAACGUUGUGUAGCCAUCUCUACCAUCCAUCUCCAUAUCUCUUUUCUUCUUAUAAAAUUAAAGCUCUGUACCCAUUAAACAAUAACUCCCCAUUCUUCCCUCCCCCCAGGCCCUGGCAACCACAAUUCAACUUUCUG
rnacentral:lncRNA from 1 species